rnacentral:rRNA from 1 species
GACGAACGCUGGCGGCGUGCCUAAUACAUGCAAGUCGAACGCACUCUCGUUUAGAUUGAAGGAGCUUGCUCCUGAUUGAUAAACAUUUGAGUGAGUGGCGGACGGGUGAGUAACACGUGGGUAACCUGCCCUAAAGUGGGGGAUAACAUUUGGAAACAGAUGCUAAUACCGCAUAAAACCUAAACACCGCAUGGUGUAGGGUUGAAAGAUGGUUUCGGCUAUCACUUUAGGAUGGACCCGCGGUGCAUUAGUUAGUUGGUGAGGUAAAGGCUCACCAAGACCGUGAUGCAUAGCCGACCUGAGAGGGUAAUCGGCCACACUGGGACUGAGACACGGCCCAGACUCCUACGGGAGGCAGCAGUAGGGAAUCUUCCACAAUGGACGAAAGUCUGAUGGAGCAACGCCGCGUGAGUGAAG